rnacentral:lncRNA from 1 species
UUCAUCCUUGUCCUCGUACUUUGGUGCUUUGUGCUCAUGUCCUGAUGAUGGAUGACCUGAUGUGCCUAUUUGCUUUUUUGACUGGCGGCGUUGGAAUAUGAUUCGACUGGCGGCGCGAGCUAGGAACAAAAAACUGCUACCAGGGGUGGAAUACGUUUUGACCUGAUGUGCCUAUUUGCUAAUCUGCUACCAGGGGCGGACUAUUCCAGGGCUAGGACUCCUUAGAGGGGCUUCUAAUUUUUUAUUGGGCCAGCCCGGCAGGCCGCUCGCCAGGGGUGACUGGUGACAGGCCGACAGGCACACAGGCCACCAGGGGGUGCCACCCUGCUAGGAGAGGCCCAGGCCACCAGGGGCAAGGGCGGAUGCUGCAUAGGGUAAGGGGUGCCAGGCCCCCCGUGCCCCCCUCCCUCCGCCACUAUCCUUGUCUACGGGUCAAAAGCCAUACUUCCUACUGACGUCACGUGGAGAUCCCCUGCGGUCAAACAAUACGACGAAGGGGUAGCAGAGGAAACAAGACGCUGAGACCUCGACAAUUUGGAAGAAUUAUGCUGUGCAGCACUCGUACAGUCAGCAAG